rnacentral:rRNA from 2 species
AAGAUUUUAGGUGCUUGCAUUUAAAUGAUUUAACAUUGAGACGAGUGGCGAACUGGUGAGUAACACGUGGGUAACCUGCCCUUGAAGUAGGGGAUAACACUUGGAAACAGGUGCUAAUACCGUAUAACAACUCAAACCACAUGGUUUGAGUUUGAAAGAUGGCUUCGGCUGUCACUUUAGGAUGGACCCGCGGCGUAUUAGCUUGUUGGUGAGGUAACGGCUCACCAAGGCAAUGAUACGUAGCCGACCUGAGAGGGUAAUCGGCCACAUUGGGACUGAGACACGGCCCAAACUCCUACGGGAGGCAGCAGUAGGGAAUCUUCCACAAUGGACGAAAGUCUGAUGGAGCAACGCCGCGUGAGUGAUGAAGGGUUUCGGCUCGUAAAACUCUGUUGUUGGAGAAGAACAGGUGUGAGAGUAACUGUUCACAUCUUGACGGUAUCCAACCAGAAAGCCACGGCUAACUACGUGCCAGCAGCCGCGGUAAUACGUAGGUGGCAAGCGUUGUCCGGAUUUAUUGGGCGUAAAGCGAGCGCAGGCGGUUUUUUAGGUCUGAUGUGAAAGCCUUCGGCUUAACCGGAGAAGUGCAUCGGAAACCGGGAGACUUGAGUGCAGAAGAGGACAGUGGAACUCCAUGUGUAGCGGUGAAAUGCGUAGAUAUAUGGAAGAACACCAGUGGCGAACGCGGCUGUCUGGUCUGUAACUGACGCUGAGGCUCGAAAGCAUGGGUAGCGAACAGGAUUAGAUACCCUG